AUUCAGCGCCUUUGCCCGCACACUGCCCGCUCCCGCACCCGCACACUGCCCGCUCCCGCACCCGCACACUGCCCGCUCCCGCACCCGCAGACCGCCCGCACCCGCACCCGCACACUGCCCGCCCCGCACCCGCACCGCCCGCACCCGCACCCGCACACUGCCCGCUCCCGCACCCGCACACUGCCCGCUCCCGCACCCGCAGACCGCCCGCUCCCGCAGCCGCAGACCGUCCGCACCCGCACCCGCACACUGCCCGAGCCCGCAGCCGCAGACCGUCCGCACCCGUAGCAGCACACUGCCCGAGCCCGCACCCGCAGACCGCCCGCACCCGCACCCGCACACUGCCCGAGCCCGCACCCGCAGACCGUCCGCACCCGCACCCGCACACUGCCCGAGCCCGCAGCCGCAGACCGUCCGCACCCGUAGCAGCACACUGCCCGAGCCCGUAUCCUCGCACUUCCUGUCAAACUCGCGUGCGUCGAUAAUUCGCUCAUCGCUGUGCACCACCCCUCGGCGCCUGUUUGUGUGUCCGUUUCGUAGGUUGGUUUCGCUCUCUUAUAGAUCAGAAUAUCUCCAUACAAGCCGUCAGAACAACGAAGCCGCCCCCCAUCACUGCCUCCCUCUACGUACACCGUUGUUGCCUUUUUUUCGUGGCUGCGGAGUAACCUGUGCAUCUGCGCAGACAUACUCGCCCACCGCACACAGACAUCGACAGACACACGAACCGAAAGAAACGCACGUGCCGAGAAGAGCAGACAGGCGCAGGUGCCUUCUGUGACAAUCUCCCACUGCUCAUCUUCGGUUCCCCUCUCUUUUCCCCUGCAUCGUUCUCUCCACGGGUGUACAUCUGCGCGAUCUCGUCGUUCCUCGAGUCGUAGUGAAGUCUCGUCUCGCCUUCGUCUUGCUCCGCAUAUCGUCGCCUUCCUCCUUUGGCGUUAUUACUGUCCCGCUCGUCAAAUAAGCUCGACAUCUGUCCUCCGUGAUUGUGCGAGUGUCUUUCUCUGUCCUCACUCCCUCGGUGCGUCUGGUGGUGGUUGCGCCACUUUUUCAGAUUCCUGUAGCUGUCACCUCGUUUCAACUUGUUUUCAUCUUUUGCAGGUAUAGAUCCUUGUGUGUUUGCACGCCUUCCGUGGUCGCUGUCUUUACUGCGUCGGUUGGUUGCAGACACCUCUUUUCGUCGACUAUAUAUUUCUUUCGCCCUCGUCUUUUGCAUCUACUCCCAUUCGUUCUCUCAUCUCCCUAUAUAUUUGUUUUUCCCACCCGCGGCUCUUCCUCUCCCUCACUCCCUCGGUGCGUGUGGUGGUGGUUCGCCUCUCUUGUCGAUUCCUGUAGUUGUCGCCUCGUUUCAAAUUGUUUUCAUCUUUUGCAGGUAUAGAUCCUUGUGUGUUUGCACGCCUUCCGUGGUCGCUGUCGUUGCUGUCGUUACUGCGUCGGUUGGUUGCAGACACCUCUUUUCGUCGACUAUAUCUUCUUUCUUUCGCCCUCGUCUUUUACAUCUGUUCCCAUUCGUUCUCCCCUCCCCUAUAUAUUUGUUUUUCCCACCCGCGGCUCUUCCUCUACCUCACUCCCUCGGUGCGUGUGGUGGUGGUGCGCCUCUCUUGUCGAUUCCUGUAGUUGUCGCCUCGUUUCAAAUUGUUUUUUCGAAAAUCAAGCGUGUGUGUUUGCACGCCUUCCGUGGUUGCUGUCGUUGCUGUCGUUACUGCGUCGGUUGGUUGCAGACACCUCUUUCCGUCGACUAUAUCUUUCUUUCGCCCUCGUCUUUUACAUCUAUUCCCAUUCGUUCUCUCAUCUCCCUAUAUAUUUGUUUUUCCCACCCGCGGCUCUUCCUCUCCCUCACUCCCUCGGUGCGUGUGGUGGUGGUUCGCCUCUCUUGUCGAUUCCUGUAGUUGUCGCCUCGUUUCAAAUUGUUUUUCGAAAUCAAGCGUGUGUGUUUGCACGCCUUCCGUGGUUGCUGUCGUUGCUGUCGUUACUGCGUCGGUUGGUUGCAGACACCUCUUUUCGUCGACUAUAUCUUUCUUUCUUUCGCCCUCGUCUUUUACAUCUGUUCCCAUUCGUUCUCUCAUCUCCCUAUAUAUUUGUUUUUCCCACCCGCGGCUCUUCCUCUCCCUCACUCCCUCGGUGCGUGUGGUGGUGGUUGCGCCUCUCUUGUCGAUUCCUGUAGUUGUCGCCUCGUUUCAAAUUGUUUUUUUUUUCGAAAAUCAAGCGUGUGUGUUUGCACGCCUUCCGUGGUUGCUGUCGUUGCUGUCGUUACUGCGUCGGUUGGUUGCAGACACCUCUUUUCGUCGACUAUAUCUUUCUUUCUUUCGCCCUCGUCUUUUACAUCUGUUCCCAUUCGUUCUCUCAUCUCCCUAUAUAUUUGUUUUUCCCACCCGCGGCUCUUCCUCUCCCUCACUCCCUCGGUGCGUGUGGUGGUGGUUCGCCUCUCUUGUCGAUUCCUGUAGUUGUCGCCUCGUUUCAAAUUGUUUUUUCGAAAAUCAAGCGUGUGUGUUUGCACGCCUUCCGUGGUUGCUGUCGUUGCUGUCGUUACUGCGUCGGUUGGUUGCAGACACCUCUUUUCGUCGACUAUAUCUUCUUUCUUUCGCCCUCGUCUUUUACAUCUAUUCCCAUUCGUUCUCUCAUCUCCCUAUAUAUUUGUUUUUCCCACCCGCGGCUCUUCCUCUCCCUCACUCCCUCGGUGCGUGUGGUGGUGGUUCGCCUCUCUUGUCGAUUCCUGUAGUUGUCGCCUCGUUUCAAAUUGUUUUUCGAAAAUCAAGCGUGUGUGUUUGCACGCCUUCCGUGGUUGCUGUCGUUACUGCGUCGGUUGGUUGCAGACACCUCUUUCCGUCGACUAUAUCUUUCUUUCUUUCGCCCUCGUCUUUUACAUCUGUUCCCAUUCGUUGUCUCAUCUCCCUAUAUAUUUGUUUUUCCCACCCGCGGCUCUUCCUCUCCCUCACUCCCUCGGUGCGUGUGGUGGUGGUUCGCCUCUCUUGUCGAUUCCUGUAGUUGUCGCCUCGUUUCAAAUUGUUUUUUUUCGAAAAUCAAGCGUGUGUGUUUGCACGCCUUCCGUGGUUGCUGUCGUUACUGCGUCGGUUGGUUGCAGACACCUCUUUCCGUCGACUAUAUCUUUCUUUCGCCCUCGUCUUUUACAUCUGUUCCCAUUCGUUCUCCCCUCCCCUAUAUAUUUGUUUUUUCCCACCCGCGGCUCUUCCUCUCCCUCACUCCCUCGGUGCGUGUGGUGGUGGUUCGCCUCUUUUUCAGAGUCCUGUAGUUGUCACCUCGUUUCAAAUUGUUUUUUUUUUUCGAAAAUCAAGCGUGUGUGUUUGCACGCCUUCCGUGGUUGCUGUCGUUACUGCGUCGGUUGGUUGCAGACACCUCUUUUCGUCGACUAUAUCUUUCUUUCUUUCGCCCUCGUCUUUUACAUCUGUUCCCAUUCGUUCUCCCCUCCCCUAUAUAUUUGUUUUUUCCCACCCGCGGCUCUUCCUCUCCCUCACUCCCUCGGUGCGUGUGGUGGUGGUUCGCCUCUCUUGUCGAUUCCUGUAGUUGUCGCCUCGUUUCAAAUUGUUUUUUUUUUCGAAAAUCAAGCGUGUGUGUUUGCACGCCUUCCGUGGUUGCUGUCGUUACUGCGUCGGUUGGUUGCAGACACCUCUUUUCGUCGACUAUAUCUUUCUUUCGCCCUCGUCUUUUACAUCUGUUCCCAUUCGUUCUCCCCUCCCCUAUAUAUUUGUUUUUCCCACCCGCGGCUCUUCCUCUCCCUCACUCCCUCGGUGCGUGUGGUGGUGGUUCGCCUCUUUUUCAGAGUCCUGUAGUUGUCACCUCGUUUCAAAUUGUUUUUUUUUUUCGAAAAUCAAGCGUGUGUGUUUGCACGCCUUCCGUGGUUGCUGUCGUUACUGCGUCGGUUGGUUGCAGACACCUCUUUUCGUCGACUAUAUUUUCUUUCUUUCGCCCUCGUCUUUUACAUCUGUUCCCAUUCGUUCUCCCUCCCCUAUAUAUUUGUUUUUCCCACCCGCGGCUCUUCCUCUCCCUCACUCCCUCGGUGCGUGUGGUGGUGGUUCGCCUCUCUUGUCGAUUCCUGUAGUUGUCGCCUCGUUUCAAAUUGUUUUUUUUUUCGAAAAUCAAGCGUGUGUGUUUGCACGCCUUCCGUGGUUGCUGUCGUCGUUACUGCGUCGGUUGGUUGCAGACACCUCUUUCCGUCGACUAUAUCUUUCUUUCUUUCGCCCUCGUCUUUUACAUCUGUUCCCAUUCGUUCUCUCAUCUCCCUAUAUAUUUGUUUUUCCCACCCGCGGCUCUUCCUCUCCCUCACUCCCUCGGUGCGUGUGGUGGUGGUUGCCUCUCUUGUCGAUUCCUGUAGUUGUCGCCUCGUUUCAAAUUAUUUUUUCGAAAAUCAAGCGUGUGUGUUUGCACGCCUUCCGUGGUUGCUGUCUGUCGUUACUGCGUCGGUUGGUUGCAGACACCUCUUUCCGUCGACUAUAUCUUUCUUUCGCCCUCGUCUUUUACAUCUGUUCCCAUUCGUUCUCCCCUCCCCUAUAUAUUUGUUUUUCCCACCCGCGGCUCUUCCUCUCCCUCACUCCCUCGGUGCGUGUGGUGGUGGUUCGCCUCUUUUCAGAGUCCUGUAGUUGUCACCUCGUUUCAAAUUGUUUUUUUUUCGAAAAUCAAGCGUGUGUGUUUGCACGCCUUCCGUGGUUGCUGUCGUUGCUGUCGUUACUGCGUCGGUUGGUUGCAGACACCUCUUUCCGUCGACUAUAUCUUUCUUUCUUUCGCCCUCGUCUUUUACAUCUGUUCCCAUUCGUUCUCUCAUCUCCCUAUAUAUUUGUUUUUCCCACCCGCGGCUCUUCCUCUCCCUCACUCCCUCGGUGCGUGUGGUGGUGGUUCGCCUCUCUUGUCGAUUCCUGUAGUUGUCGCCUCGUUUCAAAUUGUUUUUUCGAAAAUCAAGCGUGUGUGUUUGCACGCCUUCCGUGGUUGCUGUCGUUACUGCGUCGGUUUGUUGCAGACACCUCUUUUCGUCGACUAUAUCUUUCUUUCUUUCGCCCUCGUCUUUUACAUCUGUUCCCAUUCGUUCUCUCAUCUCCCUAUAUAUUUGUUUUUCCCACCCGCGGCUCUUCCUCUCCCUCACUCCCUCGGUGCGUGUGGUGGUGGUUCGCCUCUUUUUGAGAUUCCUGUAGUUGUCGCCUCGUUUCAAAUUGUUUUUUUUCGAAAAUCAAGCGUGUGUGUUUGCACGCCUUCCGUGGUUGCUGUCGUUGCUGUCGUUACUGCGUCGGUUGGUUGCAGACACCUCUUUCCGUCGACUAUAUCUUUCUUUCUUUCGCCCUCGUCUUUUACAUCUGUUCCCAUUCGUUCUCUCAUCUCCCUAUAUAUUUGUUUUUCCCACCCGCGGCUCUUCCUCUCCCUCACUCCCUCGGUGCGUGUGGUGGUGGUUCGCCUCUCUUGUCGAUUCCUGUAGUUGUCGCCUCGUUUCAAAUUGUUUUUUCGAAAAUCAAGCGUGUGUGUUUGCACGCCUUCCGUGGUUGCUGUCGUUACUGCGUCGGUUGGUUGCAGACACCUCUUUUCGUCGACUAUAUCUUUCUUUCUUUCGCCCUCGUCUUUUACAUCUGUUCCCAUUCGUUCUCUCAUCUCCCUAUAUAUUUGUUUUUCCCACCCGCGGCUCUUCCUCUCCCUCACUCCCUCGGUGCGUGUGGUGGUGGUUCGCCUCUUUUUGAGAUUCCUGUAGUUGUCGCCUCGUUUCAAAUUGUUUUUUUUCGAAAAUCAAGCGUGUGUGUUUGCACGCCUUCCGUGGUUGCUGUCGUUGCUGUCGUUACUGCGUCGGUUGGUUGCAGACACCUCUUUCCGUCGACUAUAUCUUUCUUUCUUUCGCCCUCGUCUUUUACAUCUGUUCCCAUUCGUUCUCUCAUCUCCCUAUAUAUUUGUUUUUCCCACCCGCGGCUCUUCCUCUCCCUCACUCCCUCGGUGCGUGUGGUGGUGGUUUGCCUCUCUUGUCGAUUCCUGUAGUUGUCGCCUCGUUUCAAAUUGUUUUUCGAAAAUCAAGCGUGUGUGUUUGCACGCCUUCCGUGGUUGCUGUCGUUGCUGUCGUUACUGCGUCGGUUGGUUGCAGACACCUCUUUCCGUCGACUAUUUCUUUCUUUCGCCCUCGUCUUUUACAUCUGUUCCCAUUCGUUCUCCCCUCCCCUAUAUAUUUGUUUUUCCCACCCGCGGCUCUUCCUCUCCCUCACUCCCUCGGUGCGUGUGGUGGUGGUUGCGCCUCUCUUGUCGAUUCCUGUAGUUGUCGCCUCGUUUCAAAUUGUUUUUUCGAAAAUCAAGCGUGUGUGUUUGCACGCCUUCCGUGGUUGCUGUCGUUACUGCGUCGGUUGGUUGCAGACACCUCUUUCCGUCGACUAUAUCUUUUUUCUUUCGCCCUCGUCUUUUACAUCUGUUCCCAUUCGUUCUCUCAUCUCCCUAUAUAUUUGUUUUUCCCACCCGCGGCUCUUCCUCUCCCUCACUCCCUCGGUGCGUGUGGUGGUGGUUGCCUCUCUUGUCGAUUCCUGUAGUUGUCGCCUCGUUUCAAAUUGUUUUUCGAAAAUCAAGCGUGUGUGUUUGCACGCCUUCCGUGGUUGCUGUCGUUACUGCGUCGGUUGGUUGCAGACACCUCUUUCCGUCGACUAUAUCUUUCUUUCUUUCGCCCUCGUCUUUUACAUCUGUCCCAUUCGUUCUCUCAUCUCCCUAUAUAUUUGUUUUUCCCACCCGCGGCUCUUCCUCUCCCUCACUCCCUCGGUGCGUGUGGUGGUGGUUGCCUCUCUUGUCGAUUCCUGUAGUUGUCGCCUCGUUUCAAAUUGUUUUUUCGAAAAUCAAGCGUGUGUGUUUGCACGCCUUCCGUGGUUGCUGUCGUUGCUGUCGUUACUGCGUCGGUUGGUUGCAGACACCUCUUUCCGUCGACUAUAUCUUUCUUUCGCCCUCGUCUUUUACAUCUAUUCCAUUCGUUCUCUCAUCUCCCUAUAUAUUUGUUUUUCCCACCCGCGGCUCUUCCUCUCCCUCACUCCCUCGGUGCGUGUGGUGGUGGUUCGCCUCUUUUUCAGAGUCCUGUAGUUGUCACCUCGUUUCAAAUUGUUUUUUCGAAAAUCAAGCGUGUGUGUUUGCACGCCUUCCGUGGUUGCUGUCGUUGCUGUCGUUACUGCGUCGGUUGGUUGCAGACACCUCUUUCGUCGACUAUAUAUAUCUUUCUUUCGUCCUCGUCUUGUGUAUUUACGCGCAUUCUCUCAUAUCCCUUUUUUUGGUCAGAUCUGAGCCUGACGCUGUCUCGCGAUGCGCUCUUGGCGGUGUGCUCUGUCGGGUCUGCCGUCUCCGUUGCUCUUUUUUUUGGCGUCGCAGACGCUUAUGGUGUUGCUACCUCUUUCCGUAAAGUGCAGAAUCUCGGAGUCCUUCGAGAGCGACAGAUGAGGAAUGAUGUGUGUGUGUUGUCGACGUGGAUGUUCUGUAUUAACGAGCUAUCAGGUUUUUUUUUUUCGGCCGCGUGUGUUUUAGAGCUAUAUGUUUCCUCUCUCUUUCUAUAAACCGCUGUGGGUCGGAGAUCGAUAUGCGGGUUGGGAAACUGUAUAAGUGUGUGCUUAAGUGUAUAUUUGUGGGUGGGUCCGACGGAUUUGGUUCUUCCUAUUUUCCUGGGGACGUUGGUUGCUCUACGUAUGGUUUGGUGGCGUGGCGCUAGGGGUGUGUGGCGCUGUGGAUGUUGAAUGCUGGGGGCGCGUGUCAGGCGUGCGCGUGCGUGGUGAAGUGAAGAGGUGGAAUUGUGUGGCAGAGGAGGUGUGCUUCGGCUGGUUGUCGCGCAUAGCAGCUUGUAUGGGAGAGCAGCAAGAACUGUUGCGUGCCUGAAAACAAAAUGAACAGAAAGGCUGUCGGCGGGCUUCUCUUUGGCUUUUUGAGUCUCAAUCGAUGAGAGUGAAGUGGGACGCUGCGCAUGCGGCUGCUGACAAGGGAGUGACCCAGGCCUCGUCAGCCGCUCUCUCCCCUUUUCUCUCCCUGCCUCGGAAGUGUCCAGCGCCGGUGAUGUCGUACAUGUCUGAAGAGGGUUUCCUCUCCAUGGCUCCUCGAGGCGCCCAUACAUGUCGACAUGUGGACAAAUGCACAGCGAUACACAUACGCCUCCUUCCCUCAACCCCGAGUGCGCUCCCACCGGUCACCAGCGGUGCUUCACACAG
rnacentral:misc_RNA from 1 species